UUUUGAAUUUAUAUACAUAAGUAUGUAUGCAGUUUACCAAUAUUAAAAUAAAACAAAUCAAAACGACAUAAUUUCCAUUGCCUUUUGUUGACAACAAAGUUUUGGAGCACCGUGCACUGCCCUGCGCUGCGCUGCGCUCAUGAGUCCAUUUUCCCUACCCCAACCAUGUAUUUCGGAUGAAUGUCGAGCAUGUGAAACUUCUUAAAGAUAAUAAUAAUUUAGUGCACUUGAAAUGACUUUUGACCAUCACACACAAUUGAUACGAUCCAGGCUCCCACACGUGUUCAAACAGCCGCACCAACUGCGUUCAGUUGAAGAAACCCUUAAUGGCUAGAACAGCCAGCCGAUUGGGUUGGAAUGCAGAAUAGAAUUAUGUAGUGUGCACAAUCGAAACUUAAGAGUGGGUAGCCCAUUUGCUGGUUGCCGCACCUCAAAGAAGUAAACUGGGCGUGCCGCCAAAAUGCCGGGAAAUCCACACAUCCUGCAGACUGAAGAGGAUUCGAGAUCCAGAGACACUGGUUGGGGUGCUAUCAAAAUAACUUUCCAAAUGCUGAUGUUGUUGUUUCCAGAAGUAUCGUUCUCGCAAUAGCGUAUAUGAAUUUGUUAAAAUUCAGUUGUAACAUUUUCUGAAUUUUUUGUAAAUUAUUUGAUUACAAUAAAUCGUGUAAAGCGAUA